rnacentral:tRNA from 1 species
GGGCGGUUAGCUCAGCUGGUUAGAGCGCCUGCUCGACACGCAGGAGGUCGAUGGUUCGAGUCCAUUACCGCCCACCA